rnacentral:rRNA from 1 species
UACGUAGGGGGCAAGCGUUGUCCGGAAUCAUUGGGCGUAAAGAGCGUGUAGGCGGCUCGAUAAGUCUGCUGUGAAAGUCCAGGGCUCAACCCUGGAAGGCCGGUGGAAACUGUCGGGCUAGAGUCCGGAAGAGGCGAGUGGAAUUCCCGGUGUAGCGGUGAAAUGCGCAGAUAUCAGGAAGAACACCCGUGGCGAAGGCGGUUCUCUGGGACGGUACUGACGCUGAGACGCGAAAGCGUGGGGAGCGAACAGG